CGCCCCCCGGGCUGCAAGGGCGGUGGGGUAGUGGUGGGGUGGUGGUGGGGUGGGUGGAGGGACAUGGGGCUGUUCUGGGAAGAGUGGGACUUGUUUACUAGAGAAUCAGCCUGUAGCUCUUGGGGAGAAGGGAGUGGAGGGGGGGAAAUGCGGGAUAGAGUAAGGCAACCCGGGCUCAAAACAGUCAAAUUCAAAGUAAAGGGUCAAGACAGGAUUCAGGUACUCUUUUCUCUCUCUUCACCUUCCACUUUCUUGCCCCCAUACUUCCGUUUCUUUUCUUGGGUUGGUAGCCGGGUAAGGUUUUGGGGAAAUGGGAGGGGUUUCCAGUGGGCUUAGGGUACAAGAGAAAGUUAAAGAAUCAAGCUGAAGUUUCUGUUCUCCUGCCCCCUGGUUCCUUCGGCUUGGCCCUUGGGUCUGGGCGCUCCAGUAGUUCUUGGAGGAAACGGAAUCCGGAGAAUAACUUGUCUUUCCGGUAGCCCCGCAUUUUUCCCUGGGCAGAGGCUGUGGGCUUUCCAUUUUCCGAAAGACCAGAGCCUGGCUGGGAAAGGACUCCGGGGCCGAGCUCCCUGGCGUGGAUGAGUGAAGAAGCUGGACCGAUUCCUGGAGGCCCUAGCCAGCUAGGGUGGAAGAUAACUAAGGGAAGAAUUGCCCCUAUUUCCCCCAACCAGGGGUGGCGAGAAAGACCCAGGGUUGCCAGGGGUGUGAAUCUGUGGAGUGUGCGGCUGGCAGGGGAGAUUUGAAAUAGUUUUGUGUUUUUAUUUGCAGAGGUCGCCCUGGUUUCAGCCUGGGUGUUAUUCAGAGCAAGGUUAGGCUGAUUAGGCCCCAGACCAGACUUGGGACAGUCCCCAGCAGCAGUCAGUCUAGGGAGCCAUUUGUCCCCCCUGCCCAUCCCGCGGGAAACAGCCGAGACUUUAUGACCACUCUGUUUGUAUUAUCUGCAUAAGCCUUUCCCCACGAGUUUGAUCGAAACCGUUCCCUUUUACGAGGACCCAAAGAAAAUUUCCCGUCAUAUUUAUCAGCUGAGGAUAAAAAUUUAGUAUGGGAACUGAUAUUUCCUCAUUUAUGGGACAAUGAAAUUAAAGACCAAAGCAAUUGAGAAUUAUAUGGCUUUGGGGGGCUCCCUCCCCCUCUUUCACAUCUCUUUUUAUUUUCCUCCCUGGUGUGCCUGUCCCUGGAGCUGUCGUCCCAAAAUCCUGCCCAAGUCCUCGGUUUGGAGUCUGGUCGUGAGGGUCCUUUCUACAACAGCCAGGUGCUGGACUACCUCAGCACUUUCCCGCUUUUAUCUCAGUGAUAGACGUCUUAGAAGCUGGGGAAAGUACAAUGUUUCCAUCUAGGCCCGUGCUGUUCCGGCCAAGCCGAACUCCUUAAGGGAAGAGAUUUGCAGGAGGGGAUAGUGGGAUUGGAACCCAGACUGAGAGAAGAUGGUGAGAGUCAGAAAAUUCUAGAAUAGUCCUCAAACAUGUCCCAGACAGAAACUGGCUAGCUAUGAAGAGAGAAGCAAAAUUAUUCCGUUUCUGGGUCUGUCUCCCCUACAAACCAGACCCCCACCUUCAACCUCAGCUAUGGGAGGCAAUGGAGUUGCUUCAGGAUUUUUUUUUUUUUACCAUUAUUAGUGGAAAUAAUACCCUCAGGAGAAAAGCUUCCUGUUUCAACUCCCACUUCCUCACAAGAACGAAUAGUGUUUAAAGUUGAAAUAAUUAGAAGUAUGAUAAACACGGCCCAUUAAUGAAACAAGAAAUCAAAUUCAUCAGCCUAAGUGGGACCCCCGUUGGGACAAAUGUUUGCCUCUAAUUACUCAAGAUAAACGAAAACCCAGAGCUGUUAAGCAACAGCCCGCUGGCUUGCUCGGACACGACCGAAUAACUUGUUGGCUUUUCCAGGACUUUGGUAUUUGUAUUAAUAGAGGUAAAAGGAAAGAAGAAGUGAAAGCGAGGGCCCGGACAGAGAGCAUUUGUGUGGGUACAGGAAAGUCCUGUCUAGCCUGGGUCUCUAGCCCUGCCCCCUUGGGCUCGCAUUUCCCGAGGCCACGAGCAAAGACAUCUUCCGUCCUAUUGUCCGGGCCUGGCGUUCAAAGGCAUGCGUGCCGCCUCAGUCACCCGGUCUGCCGCCACAGCCAGGCGCCCGCUGGCCUUACCCAAAGGGUACCCUUGUCAACUGGAUUGGGGCGCCCAGUUGAAAGUCUGUGUUGUGAAAGUCACCCUGGGGUUUUUGUUUUGUUUUAUUUUUUGUUUGUUUUUGCUUUUUAGGUAUCUCUUCACCCAAUGCAAUCAGCCUUGCACUUAAGCCUUACUCCGGGGGUCCUCUUUCUUACCUCAACUCGAGGAAGUGAAAAUUCCGGGGACUGCAGGUCAAAGUGGGGCUCAGGCUGUGCCCAUGUCUCAAUAAAUCCAACCCUCCCUAAGAGAAAGCCCAGGGCCCUUUCACUCUUCCCGCCCUGCGUCCAGACACUGAAGGGAAGUCCGGCUGAGCUGGACUGGGCCGCCUGGGCCUCCUGAUAUUUUUGGGUCGGUGAGCAAGGGAGCAGAAGAGGGUUCAGGAGUUCCUGGCUGGCUCCAGAAGGGCCCUGCAGUUCUUCGGGGACAGAUGCACUAAGGAUCCCCGUGAAUGGAUAAGAAUGAAGGUGGUCUCUUUUCGGGUGAAGCCCUCAAAUCGCCCAGAAGCACCCUGUUUUCUCCUCUGAAAAUUGUCGGAGUUUCCCUGAGAGGUUAAAGAUGAUCUGGGAACAUCUGAAGACGAAGAGAAAGAGGAAGAGUGCCUCUCCUUGUGGAAUAAAAGUAACUAAAUUCAGUUUUAAAAUGUGCAUGCUGAAACCUCUUCAAGCAAAAAUGGAAGGCAAAAUUACACCACUGACUGUUGGGAUUUUCUCCUUGUUCUGGAGGCCGAGAUUAGUCGUUCUUUUCUCAAAUCUUGAAGGAAGAAUUCUCUUUUCUUCUAGAGCACCAAGCUCUGCCCCACUUGAAUUAAGAGCAGGGAAACUCCAAGCAAAAUGUGGAAUUCUCAGAAGUCCAGGGGAGAAAGGUUCAAACAGGUAAAGAGGUGAGAGGCUGAGGACUGAUAAAGGGGCUUCUGUUCUACUUCGGAUUCUGCAGCCACUCAGGCAGGCAGGGCUGCCAGCGGACUUACUCUCACAUCUAGACAUCUAGACACUGUACACACUUGUACCCAGAGGCUGUAGAGUAUAGCGUCAAUCCACAUGUCCGGCUUGCAUUUCAUUGCACGUACACAGCCUCAAAUAUUCACUUCUACCCAAAGCGCUUCCUGCAGUCCUUGAAUUCCAAAGUUCGCUAUCCCGUGCCAGCAUGACUGCUUCCCGCCCCUUCGGAAAACCGACCAGUAUUUUUAACUUUGCCUAUGGAAUCGAAACCAGACCACACACACCCCAGAGAGAAGCAUUGGGAGGAGGAGCCCAAAGGGAGGGCAACUUGGGGGAAAGACCCUGGUCCCCACUUUAAUGGUUUGUUUCUGAGUUGCUUCAGGAGGUCAGAUUUCCAGUCAGGGUCUACUGUGGUUGGGGCUCCCUUACUCCUGAGGGUAAAAAACAGGAUCCUCCUUCACUAGCUAAUUCCUUUUUGAAGGUCUGUUUUGGUUUUGUUGUUUUUUUUUUCUUCACUUUUCUUUUCUUCUUCCUUUCCUUUCUUUUUCAUUUUCCGGCUUUCCCUUCUUUCUCUAUUUUUUUCUUCCUUCUUCUUUGUAAUUUUCCCCCUCAGGAUUUUGAUUUAUUGUUUCCUCAUUUUCUUCUUUCUUUAUGAUAAACUUUAUUCUUCGCUUUCUUCAGUUUCUUUUGCUUCCUCUCCCCGAGGGAAGGCUUACUUAUUUUUCUCUGCUGUGCUAGGUACGUUAUGUGAGAAGGAAAAUAACAGGUUGGAGCCUUCUAGUUCCAGUUGCUCGGGCUUGGAAUUGACCUUCUGCCUUCAGGCUCAGUUCAGCUCCCCACAAGGCGAAGUGUAAAACAGUCAGCCAGCAAAGGUGGUCAGGCCUUACUUACAGUCAGUCCAGUCGCCAUUAGAGGGACAAGAAUGCUCAGAAGCACCACAAGCACACCUCCCCACCCCCGCCCCCACCCCCAGUCAGUGCCAAAGGCUCCUAGAUACUUGAAAUGCUGGCUCCUGGUCCUCAUUUCAUCACACUAAAGAAACUGGUCCGUUAGACCCACAAUUAGAGAGCACUUCCCUUAUCUUUGUCCUGCUGGAACUGAACACCAUAUAGACUAAAGUUUAGCUCAUUUUUGCUCUCAGGACUGGAGAUAGGAAGGUGAGAGACCAAGGCUCUGUCAGAGGGUAGAGUGCAGGUCCAAAGGGUCAUAUGUAUGUUGUUGGCAUUCCAAGUCCAUGUCCCUACAUAAGUCCUUUAUAAAGGAUUCGGGAGGACUGUAACCCUGCUGGCCGCCAUCUCCUUUGAUUCUGCAGCAACUGCAAUCUUUAGGCAAGAAUUUCCUGGUAUUUGGACUUUUUUCCCCUUAAACCCCACAGGCAACAGGGAUAGGACUGUGUGUGCAGAAGCCCCAACCCCCAAAUUAAAAGUUUGAGCCAGGAUUAUAGAACUUCACUACUCCAAGAAAUGGAUGGAAGGGGGGAAAGAGAGAGAGAGAGAGAGAGAGAGAGAGAGAGAGAGAGAGAGGAAGAACAGAGACAGACACAGAGAAAUAGAGCCUACAACAAAACACGGUGUAAUGGGGGAAGGCUUGCUAUACUGCAGAUAUUUUACAAAUUGUGUGGGUCUAGAAAGAGUACAUCUCAAAUGCAUGGUGGAUAGGACUCUCCUGAAUGCCUGUCGCUUUUGUUAGCUGGCUGUCCCGAAAGCCAGGUCCUGGGUAGACCUCAAGAAGGAUUGGUGUGACUUUCAAGCCCUUUUUACCUUCAGCAAAGGAAAGUACCCCCCUACAUAUGAUGAAGCCUCAGGGCUCAUCCCUCUUUCCUUCUCUAGAGUUCUAUUCUGUGGCAAGACCUAAACUAAACUUUUUUUUUCAAGAGGAGGGGGAAUCUUGUAAAAAUUUUAUGCCAAACAAAGUUAUAAAAACUUCCAGGGCGUUGCCUUUCCAAAGGUUUAUAUGAAUAAUAAAGAGUGUAGUCGCGUGCACACCCGGCUGGCUAGCGCAGAGCGGGAAGGGUUUAGUAAACAGCGUUAUCCAUCCCUGGGGCACCAGGAAAACCCCAGGGCUACCCACUUCAGGGAAUAUUGGCCUCAAAAGAAAUUGCUCUACAGAUUCCUAAGAGGGGCGGGAGGGUUGGGGGUGAGGGAGAAAGAGGCAGUGCCCUUGACUCCCUUGAAGUUCAAAGUUUUCCUUCGCCUUCUUGGAGCAAAGGCCUCUCUUCUGUCAGCUUCUCAAGAAAUGAGAUCAAGGUAGUUCCUUCCCUUCUGGUACACUGGUUUCAGAGUAACUGCAGUUCUCUUCACUCUCUGGCACCUGGGCUACACCAUCCAUGCUUUCUUCCCGAUCCACGGCGGCCUCCCAGAAGAGCUUUCCACUCUUUGGUUCUGGGAGACCUGAAUCCAGAGGCUUUCCCUCAGAAUUGGGGUGGAAGACCCACCUUCAAGGCAACUCUGCAUUUCCCAAGCCACCUAGGGUCUGAGUGACAAAGAAACUCCAAAUCCAAGCCUACUUCUAGCCAAUUUCUCAUUUCAAGCGCCCCUGACUCCCCCUGCACCCCCAAAGCCCAUAGUGGAAAGGGGGUGGGGCCCAGAGAGCUCUCUCAGCCCACACCACUUAAUACCCUUGUAAACUCCCACGUGCGCUAUAAACUUGGAUUUUUACAACCAACAUUCCUCCUUAGCUCCAGGAAACUUUGAACUCGGCCUCUGGUUUAUUUACUUGGGGGGUGGGGAGCUGAGAAAGGCUGGAGGAAAGGAGGGAAAAUGUGGGGCAAAGGGAUGAUGGGGUGGGGGCGCCUGGGGUGUGUUGGAAGAGCCAAGACCAUCCACUGGGGGUUUGUUUACUGUUUAGGACGGAAGCAUUUUCUAACACAGGCCAGACUGGGUCGUUAAGGGUGAAAUGAAACUGGGUUUAGAGGCUCGGGGACGCUUUAUGGCGGCGUCUAGACUGCGAUCUUUUGUUCCAGGGCAGCGUUGCGGCUGGAGGGGAUUACCCCAAGGGGUUGAGCCCAGAGUGCCCCUGUUAGCAAAGGGGGUUGGCCAUCCCAGGAGCGUGAAGGUGGGCUUGCUUGGGGGCUAAAGACCCCUCCCUCUUCCUCUCCUCUGUCUCUUUGCCUCUCUCUGUCUCUAUCUCUCUGCCUCUGUCUCUGUCUCUGUCUCUGUCUCUCUGCCUCUCUGCCCCCCCCCUCCCUGGCAGGUUCUUGGACUCAAGUCACACAAUCCUUUGAUUUUCUUUCAAGAUAACUCUUCUCUCAUUCACUAGAAAUAUCUUCUAGAAGAGAGAUUCUUUUCUCAGUUGUAUAUUUGUAGAAAAGAGAUAAGGGUAUAUGUCUCUCUCUCCUCUAAUAGUCUCCUUUUUAAAUAGUUUGUUCUUUGCUUAUCUAUUUUUAUAUAGAGAAUAUGGUCAACAUGACAACAGUCCCUGGUAUAGCUAGAUGUAAUAGGUAAAUAUCACAUCUCAAGGAACCCCCCUCAUCCACAAAUACACAGAGGACCCUUGGUUGCAAUCCUGCUUACUGUUCACACACCAGGGAAGGAGGACAUAAACUGGGCACAUCAGGUCACAUUUGUUCCAUGCAGACAAAUGUGUACAAACUAUACUCCUCCUCAUGAACACACAUAAAGACACUGCCUUGAAGGAUACAAUGUUUGUGAGCACAGGAAAGCUUGUGAGCCACAAUACUCCGAAGUUGACAAAUCUCAAAGAGACACACAGUUGCAAAUCGGAGAUUCAGUUAUCUAAGCUGCAGGAAUCUCAGUCAUCAAAACAGGGAGUAAUCAUUGUCCUUGAGACCCAGGGUGCUUUUCUCCCCUCCAUCCAACAAAGAAGCAUGGAAGAGAAUAUUAUCUUGGAAUCCCAUAAGGUCAGAAAGACAGAAGGAUAUAAGAGAAGUGGUCCUAAGCCUCUUACCCCAAAAUAACAAAUUUUAAAAAAAAGAUAGAUGAGUGUUCUUUUUCAAAGAACUGAAAGCAUUAGUUAACUUUCCUCUGAAGAAACACAUGCAGCAAAUAUAGACUGGUAUGAAGGUUGUCCCAUAGGUCACCUCCUUUCCUGAUGCCCUCUUUACUAAUCCCUACAAAACACAUCUCUGGAGCUUUUUAUUCUGAAACAGCCAACAUAUAAAAGUCAGGCUGGCCCCAGCCUAGGUGUCUGGUUCUGUCUGGAGAAGCCUGACCAUUUGGGCCAAAGGGGAAGGGGAUGGGCCCCAUUUUCCCACCCCUAGAGGCUGUGAAGAAGACAGGAGAGGGUUGGUUUGGCCUCUUCUCCCCUCCUUCCUUUAAAAUUGUAUAUUAAAAUUCUAAGACACCCGAGAAGAGAGAGAGAGAGAGAGAGAGAGAGAGAGAGAGAGAGAGAGGAAAGAGGGAGACAUACCCUCAGCUCUACAUAUUUGACUGUGACCAGAGGGAGACAUCUGGCAGGAGGGUAGUGGAGCCAAGAAAAUUCCUAUAAAUUUAAAUUUGAUGAUGGUUACAAUUAACUCCACAACAAACCUGUACUUAAAGAGGAAGCAUUGCUGGGCAUUUGAAUGCAGCUUGAGUUGCACAUGAGAAAAAAAGGAGUUUAGGACUAAGCAUAGAAUGUCCUUCAGAGCUGGAGCAGCCUUAGGCUGCCCCUGCCUUUGGAGCUGAGCGCCAGUGUCCCCCUGGUACUGGCCUGCCUCACCUCAGAAGGCCGUUUUUUUCCAGCAGCAGGCUCUCUCAAUCCAAUAGUCGAUGUCUCCUCCUCCUCCUCCUCCUCCUCCUCCUCCUCCUCCUCCUCCUCCUCCUCCUCUUCCUCCUCCUCCUCCCUCUCCUUCCCCUCCUCCUCCCUCUCCUUCCCCUCCUCCACCAUCACCACUACCACCACCACCACCAUCACCACUACCACCACCACCUCUGCUGUCUUGGGAACACAGGGGGGGUUUAAGAGGAGAGGGGUUAAUAAAAAGGUCAAAUAAAAUCAUAAUAUUGAA